UUACAUCCCACAGCUGUUACAUCCCUGUUGCUUAUCCCCAUUCUGCCUGCAGUGCAGGGAAAGUAGAAAGGUGGUGUGAGCCACUGAAGCCCAGGCAGCUGUUACUGCAGAGGUGAAAGCACCUGAUGGUGAUAACUGCCUUACAAAUGCCAAGGACUCUUACUCUUCUUUAGAGCAAAUUACUUCCUGGACCACAUCAGUCACAGCGUGCUGGAGGUGCAGCAGGCCUAAAUGAAAAUGAAUAAAUUCAGGAUCUGACUCAUUAAGCAGUUACUACUAAUGAGGGGUAUUUUUCUGGGACCUACACUUAUCAGAAAAGAAAUCCCAAGAGGGAAGAGAAUCAACAGGUCCCAUUCUAAGCUCUCAUUUCAGCACGCCUGCAAAAGGAGAAUCCCAGCAGAAAUCUCAGGAGCAAGUUGUAAUUAAUUGAAGCAAGCAGAUGGCUCCAGCUUCGUGUGCCUCAGCAAAGUGACAGCAUCUGAUGGAGGAGCUGUGGCAGCACAGGAGAGGGGCUGGGAUGAAAGCUCUCCAUGUGCACCUGCAGCAGGCUUAACAGGGUCUUUAUUCAGACAAGUGUUAUCUCACCCCUCAUUGAAUUAUCUCCCUCAAAUGGCCUUGGGUAAGGGAUGGCUGUAAGGGAAGGAGAAAGAGGUGAGCCAAGAUUUAUUCUCAAGAAAGCGUAGGAUAAGUUGCUAAGUUUGAAUGUCAGGCCAUAAUUGGCUCCCAAUUGGCUCUGUGAGUUGUUUUUUCUUAUUUUGGAACAGGAGUGCCUUUUCUGAAUAAAACCCUCUUCUAAAUGGAUUAAACAAAUUCAAUUAAAAGUCUGAAAAUGCUGUUUAAGGAUGGGCACAAUCACAGAUGGAAUGAGAGUCCAAAGUAACUUCUGGCAUAAAAAUAUCCUUAUAAUUGUAAAUAAUCAGGUUUGUGCUGUUUCUGAAGGGUGUAUUUGGUCUUUAAGUCAGGGUGGUUUGAGCAGAGAAAUUCAAGAGCAUCUUUUCUUUAGGAGACUCCUUCUGGAUACAUAAAAUGUGACAGAUGGGGGAACUUGCUGGAUCUUGGAUAAGUUACUGAGAUAUUGCAGAGCUGCUGUAAAUAUUGUAGGACCUCAUGACAGUCAAAGAAGAUGAAAAAUGACACCUACCCAGAAGGGCUGCAAAGUGUUUGUAAACCUCCAGCUUUUAAGAAGAAAUGAAUUUCCAUCUGCAGUUUGGGGUCCUUGGACCUCAGUCCUCUAAGGAGAGUGGUGGUGAAAUGGAUCUCCCCACACCCCAUCAGUGUCUGGGGAAGGAUCCUCCAGGGUUUCAUGGCACAUAACAGCAUUUGCUGCAGGUUUAGACUGCUCCAAGCCACUUCCCACAGGUGGCCUGAGUACCUUGCCAGAAGAAUUUGGUUCUCAGGGAAAAUCAGACUCUGGCCUGACCUUUACAGCUGCAGGUGACAGGGAUGGAUCAGUUUUCUCUUUAGCUAUGUCCUCUCUUUCUUUCUUUUGUCUGGACAUGCCCAAUUUGUGCAUAAGCUUAGUGCCAGUUUCUCACCAACAUUCUGAAUCCACAAUUAAAACAGAUUUUUCUUUAUAAGAUCUCUAUGCACUGCAGCCAGCAGAAUUUUCUUUAAAUCCUUAUACCCAGUUUAAUCUCAGGUGUUAAAAAAGUUUUAUUCAUUACCUUAACUAUUGAUUAUCUCAUUUUAUUAUUAUCUUCAGAUACUCUAGAGUCUGACAUGCCAGCUUCUUUGGCUGCAAUUUCUGAUUGUGGGGGAAAGCUGUCAUAAAUGAGCACUCCCUACAGAGCAGCUUCUCAGUUUGGGUGGUUUUGUACUGCUCUUACUCAGGCAAACUCCCAAUUGUGGCAGGAUCAGGCCUCUUAUUCUGAGGUUCCUGAUAAUUCAACCUAAAGUUUUCCAUCAAAACUUCUUCCUAGUUCAGCAUAAGCAUAACUGAUGGAGUCAAAUCCAGUUCCCUGCUAGUGCUAAUUUAAUACCCAUCCCUUAUCUUCUGAUUCCAAAGGCAUGGCUGGAUGAAUCUUACAUGUCCCUUCAUGGAAAUAUUUUCCAACUUUCUUUCUCCCAUAUCUUCUGGUUUUGUGUGUGCAUAUACUUUUUAAGAAGAAAAGCUUGUUUAUGUGCCAAAAAAAUUCUAUUGUUGCUUUUUCUUUGUUCCACGGUUUCUCUGUUUAAAUUGCCUCACAGCAGUUCCUUUUCAUUCACAUGUGUUUAUCAAUUUUUAACAAUUUCCAAUUACCAUAUUCAUUUCAAAAAUUUGCAGGAGUAAUGUUGCUGAUAGAAGCUUUAUAUUUAUUUACUGCCUUGCUUCCAGCCUGUCUGAAAAACACUGAAAAUAAGUGUGCUGUUUGUGGAGAUGUCUGACAUUGAGUCAACAGCCAUCCAAACCAAACUGGUGCACACUGACGUCUUUGGGAUCUGAAGGAAUCCAAAUUAGUCCUUACUUCGUAGCCUACAACCUAAAGACCUUUUCUGGGAAGAGUUGGAAUCAAUUACCUGAAGGGGCAUAUUCUCAAUUUUCAGUAUUUAGCAUUUCAUCCAUGUUCUGUGCCUACUGAAAAAGAGUUUGUUUUUUUUU